rnacentral:rRNA from 1 species
GAUGAACGCUAGCGGCAGGCCUAAUACAUGCAAGUCGAACGAGAUUGAGGAGCUUGCUCCUCAUGAAAGUGGCGCACGGGUGCGUAACGCGUAUGCAAUCUACCUUAAUCAGGGGGAUAGCCCGGAGAAAUCCGGAUUAAUACCGCAUAACGUUAUUUUAUGGCAUCAUAGAAUAACCAAACAUUUAUGGGAUUAAGAUGAGCAUGCGUGACAUUAGUUAGUUGGUGAGGUAACGGCUCACCAAGACUACGAUGUCUAGGGGAUCUGAGAGGAUGACCCCCCACACUGGUACUGAGACACGGACCAGACUCCUACGGGAGGCAGCAGUAAGGAAUAUUGGUCAAUGGGCGCAAGCCUGAACCAGCCAUGCCGCGUGCAGGAAGACGGCCCUAUGGGUUGUAAACUGCUUUUAUCGGGAAUAAACCUCUUUACGUGUAAGGAGCUGAAUGUACCGAAGGAAUAAGGAUCGGCUAACUCCGUGCCAGCA